CAACCACAGCUUGGACCAGUUGUUCAAAGGUAAGCUGAUCGGAUUUUGGUUAUCGGAUUGGAUCAAAUCUUGAAAAUGGGUUGUUCAAAAGGGCAAGAAGGAAUCUGAA